UUCGCACGAAAAUAAGCAGACGACGGCUGAGACCCCUCGCACGAAAGAAACCUCACGAUCGAGGCUGCCCUCAUCUAUUCGCUACAACGACGGGAGCCAUGCCGCCGCCGCCACCGCCACCGCGAUCCCUGAAACGCCGCCGAUCUAUUCGCUACAUCGAUGGAAACCAGGCGCUAGCCACGGAUCCCUUUGCCGGCGCCGAGCAGUCAUCGAGGAGCCGGCGCCGAGGUCCUAAAGGAGGCGCCGCCGCUAUCGUUGCAGGCCUCCGGGUUGCCAUCGGGACACCGCUGCCGAGAUCCGCCUUCGCCUUCGUCCGGCAGAGGCGGCGGAAGGCAGCCGGGAGGGGAAGCGCACAACGACCUGGAAGACAUCCGCCCUCACGCGCUCAUCGUCUUGCUCGAUCUACCCGAGGGCUGCCGAUGGGCGCCUCGGCGGCGGCCACGCGAGAUCUGCGUCUGGGACGUGACAAUCCCUCCACCCCGGUCGCCGGUGAGAUUUCACUACCUCGAUCCUCCCGGUCCCAGUUUAUCAGGUCGUCCCUGACAAGAGGGAGCGAGAGAUGCUACUGCCGGGCACGUGCACGCACGUGGGGCGGCCGCCUGCGAGCAGGGCCGGGUCCUCUCUCCUUCGUCGUCCAUGGCCUCCGAACCACUCCGUUGAGCGGUACCUCUGCGCCCAAGUGUCCGCUCCUCGAUCUUCAACAGAUUUGUUAUCUCCUCUCUUCCGUUGCAGAACAAUAUGAUACGAUGCACAUCGGUCCGCUUUACUGGCAGCUAUCUUUCAAGAUUGAGGGGAGGCACUCGUGUGGACCUGCUCAAUGUUCGAGGAGAUACGGCUGACUAAACAAGGUUAUUUUAAAGUUCUAUGUGGUUCAUGUUAGCUAUCUAUCAGUAAUAGUACAACCUUGAUUUUUAUGUCGUUCAGGUUUACCUAACCAUCAGUAACAUUACUUUCUAUUGGAGACUUCUUACAGGAGGUGCUUAUAAAAUGAUAGUUGAACAUGUACAGAUUUUGGAUCACGGUCAUCUAUUUACCAGGCAUCAGUUAACUCAAGGCAUCGAUCAAAAUCUAGCGUUCUUUGUUGUGUGCAGCAUGAAGAAGACAAAGAACAGAGAUUGUGUGAUAUAUCCGAUAACGCAAUAUAAUUUUCUCUGGCAUAUUUAUAAUCUGCCAUUUGAAUGAUGUUUUCUGUGUUGUAGUCAAAUCAAGACAAUUUGCAACUUUGGUGUUGUGAUGUUGGAGGCCGUGCUCAACAGCAAUGGGGGACUGUUCGUUGAUGCCCGACCCAUGAUGCCGGCGAAGGAAUGAGAGUCGACGAGGAGUGGACGCCAUGGGUUCGUGAACUGGCGAAGCCUCCGUUGUCCGUUUGGUAAUGUUCGAUGCAUCAGAGGCAUAGUAUGACUUGUCCCGAUUAUGAUGUCGUCUACAAACAUCCAACGGAGGGGAACCCGUCCCAGUUUCCAUCUUGAUGUUUCAGUUGUUGAGCUCUGCACUACAAAACCGAGAAAUACCCAAGGCUUUUUACAGACUACAAAUAGAGGGAAAUUGGCCUGUGCCUUACUAGAGACAGAUGAACCAAUAAAAUGAUUGGAAAGGUUCUUCCCAAGCAAAGGCUAUCGGUGAACACGACAAUGCGGCUGUUGGUCACGGAUGCCGGGGGCGUGAGCGGGGUUGAGGAGCUCACAUGGUGCUAUACAUGAAGACCUGCAAGUGGUGGCAGGAGGUGGCAUGCCUGCUGCUUGGCUGGAAGUCCGACAUGGACUCCCACGACCGACUGUAAGCAUGGUUGUGAAGACCUUCCAGCAUUACCCCAGGAAGCUAACACAUCAGCUUGUGCCAUACGUGGUGUUUUCUUGUUGAUGAAUGUUGGUCUAGCAUACUCUUUUUGUCUGCCUUGAUCGCAGUGGGGCGGGGGUGAGGCGUUGGAGAGAGAGGCGGGGCAGUGGUGCAUGCGUGCAGUGCGUCUGGACGACGGAAUGCAUGAUCGAGUGAUCGGUGUGGUGGUUGGCGGUGCUUGGGCAUUGAUGUUCGAUUUGAGAGGAAGAAGAAAGAUUAGCUGCUAAUUUUGGGGGGGAAGAAGAGAGAUUGAGCGUGUUGUUGUUGUCGUCUUGGGAGAGGAAUAAAAGAGAGUAGUAAAGAGCUGUAGAGAGAUAGCGAGGGAUUGAGAGGCUACUACUAUUUCUAUUGCUGUCAAUGCUUGCACAAUGCUAUUGCUUAUUAUACUGGGGUAUUCAUCUUUGGAAUAAAAACAA